GAUGAACGCUAGCGGCAGGCUUAACACAUGCAAGUCGAGGGGCAGCGGGGAGUAGCAAUACUUCGCCGGCGACCGGCGCACGGGUGCGUAACGCGUAUGCAACCUACCAUAUACAGGGGGAUAAUCACUCGAAAGGGUGUCUAAUACCCCAUAGUAUUAAAUAACUGCAUGGUUAUUUAAUUAAAGAUUUAUUGGUAUAUGAUGGGCAUGCGUGACAUUAGCUAGUUGGAGAGGUAACGGCUCACCAAGGCAACGAUGUCUAGGGGUUCUGAGAGGAAGAUCCCCCACACUGGUACGGAGACACGGACCAGACUCCUACGGGAGGCAGCAGUGAGGAAUAUUGGUCAAUGGGCGAGAGCCUGAACCAGCCAUGCCGCGUGAAGGAAGACUGCCCUACGGGUUGUAAACUUCUUUUAUAUGGGGAUAAACCUACUCUUGCGAGAGUAGCUGAAGGUACCAUAUGAAUAAGCAUCGGCUAACUCCGUGCCAGCCGCCGCGGUAACAC
rnacentral:rRNA from 1 species